rnacentral:rRNA from 1 species
CCUACGGGAGGCUGCAGUGGGGAAUAUUGGACAAUGGGCGAAAGCCUGAUCCAGCCAUGCCGCGUGUGUGAAGAAGGCCUUCGGGUUGUAAAGCACUUUCAGUGGGGAAGAAAGCCUUGGGGCUAAUACCCUCGAGGAAGGACAUCACCCACAGAAGAAGCACCGGCUAACUCCGUGCCAGCAGCCGCGGUAAUACGGAGGGUGCGAGCGUUAAUCGGAAUUACUGGGCGUAAAGCGCGCGUAGGCGGUCUGAUAAGCCGGUUGUGAAAGCCCCGGGCUCAACCUGGGAACGGCAUCCGGAACUGUCAGGCUAGAGUGCAGGAGAGGAAGGUAGAAUUCCCGGUGUAGCGGUGAAAUGCGUAGAGAUCGGGAGGAAUACCAGUGGCGAAGGCGGCCUUCUGGACUGACACUGACUCUGAGGUGCGAAAGCGUGGGUAGCAAACAGGAUUAGAUACCCCGGUAGUC